GUAAGGAAUAUUGGUCAAUGGGCGCAAGCCUGAACCAGCCAUGCCGCGUGCAGGAAGACGGCCCUCCGGGUUGUAAACUGCUUUUGUACGGGAAUAAACCUCUCUACGUGUAGGGAGCUGAAUGUACCGUAAGAAUAAGGAUCGGCUAACUCCGUGCCAGCAGCCGCGGUAAUACGGAGGAUCCAAGCGUUAUCCGGAUUUAUUGGGUUUAAAGGGUGCGUAGGCGGCCUGUUAAGUCAGGGGUGAAAGACGGUGGCUCAACCAUCGCAGUGCCCUUGAUACUGAUGGGCUUGAAUAGACUAGAGGUAGGCGGAAUGUGACAAGUAGCGGUGAAAUGCAUAGAUAUGUCACAGAACACCGAUUGCGAAGGCAGCUUACUAUGGUCUGAUUGACGCUGAGGCACGAAAGCGUGGGGAUCGAACAGGAUUAGAUACCCGAGUAGUCC
rnacentral:rRNA from 1 species